UUGCUUGCUUCAGCAGCACAUAUACUAAAAUUGGAAUGAUACAGAGAAGAUUUGCAUGGCCCCUGUGCAAGGAUGACAUGCAAAUUUGUGAAGCAUUCCAUAUUUUU
rnacentral:snRNA from 1 species